rnacentral:tRNA from 1 species
GGCGCGGUGGCCGAGUGGUCUAAGGCGGCAGUCUGCAAAACUGUGUAUCGUCGGUUCAAAUCCGACCCGCGCCU